GUCAAGGAGGAGCUCAGCCUAGCCGGGCCAUUAGCUCCCGGGCCAGCAAGGGGAAGCCCCAGGGAAGACACUCCUCUGCCCUCCGGUGGGACACUGUCUGACAGGGGUCCCUUCCUUGGGAACCUGGCUGAGGCCUGGCAGUGAACAGGCAAGGCGGGGGCGGGGGCUUUCCCAUGGGCUGGGGUACAUCUGGGGUCCCGCUGGGGUGCAUGGUAUAGGGGCUGGUUCUGGAUAGAGAGAAGCUGAGCGGGUCAGGAGGACGCUUCAAGGAAUUCCUGGGUGGCUGUCAGAACAUCUGACAGUCAGGAUGGGCCAGAGGACCAGGGAACAAAUGGGUAGCAGAUAAAGCCAGCACAGUCUCUUCAGAGUGCCCUCCACACACACGCGCACACCCACAAUGCCAGAGCUGGAGGAAGGUAGCAGGCAGGCUCCUGCUGUCUCCUUGGUCCCUGAGACACCUGGUGAGGAGCUAGGGUGGUGAAGGCCAUCCAUGGGAAGCUGGGUCUCAGGCCUGGCUCUUGCCGGCAGCUUGUGUUGGGGGGUGGGGAUACCCGGAGCUUUCCCUUCUGCUGGGGACCUGGCAGCCUGAGUGACCUAGAUACACAGGGGGUUAGAGUUGGUCUCAAGACAACUGUGAAGAGGAUGGGGAAAGAGUAACAAAAAAUAAAGAGAGAAAGAAAGGAAGGAAGGAAGGAAGGAAGGAAGGAAGGAAGGAAGGAAGGAAGGAAGGAAGGAAGGAAGAGCCACUACUGUCCUAAGGGUGGCCUUCCUGCCUCACACAUUUUCUUCCAGCUGCUGUGCCCUACCCUAGGCACACAUAAGUUGGAGCAAGCCAGCCUGGUUCCCAGCAAGAGCCCUAUCUACCGUUUUAGCUCUACUGGAGAAGACAAGAAAGAGCAGGUGUGUGUCCUCAUCAAGUCUGCCACCCUGAAGCCUUAACUUCGUUCUUCACACUGCCGUGGGAGGUAUUUGUCAUGGGUGCCCCAUCCAUUCUACAGACGAGGAUCCAAGGGUUCCAGACUCCCAAGCACAUGUCUAACCUGCCAGAACUGCAACCUUGAAUGCCGGUUUGUAAGCAACCCAGCUCUGGACUCAACAACUGAAUGUAACUAAGGCAUUCCUCUUCCAACCAAAAACAAAGUUGACUACUCCUGCUGAGUCCCAUGAGGUGGCCACAGAAGUAACACAGCUGUCCUUUGAGAGCAUAGCAGCCCUGGACAACCGUGGUUGCCCGCUUGGUAAGUGUUACUGCUGGGUUCUCUGAGACUUUCUUCCCAAGUCCAUGGUGAACAAGAAGCAGAUCUCCACCCUUCCACCCCACAUGCUGAGGAACUGCACUGACUAUUGAAGGAGCCUGGUAGACGCCAAAAGGAAAUCCGGUUGGUUUUUCUUUUUAUUUUUUUGGCUCUAGCGUGUUCUGAAAACAUGCUUAUAUAAAGGGACAGGUGAGUACAGGGGAGUGAGCUCCAAAGGGCAGAUGUCCUGGCUGCUCUUCCCAGCUCGUUGGCUGCCCCUGUCAAUCCCUCAAAGCUUGGAUGUGGUUAGGAAGGCCAAGUGUGGGAUCUACAGGCUAAGCUCGUGAGUCCUCUUUUUUCCCUCUUUCUUGAAUCUGCUUCUCACAGCCAUGCCCUACAUUCAUGCUCUCAGACGGAGAAGCUGUUCCUUAAACAGUUGGCAGGAAGACACCAAGGGGAAGGUGUGUGGUUUGGACAUUGAGUUUUCCUAUCUACACCAUGUAGCUAGCUCUCACUAAGUGGUGCCAACUGAGCACUCAGGACUGAACUUGUUUUUGGUCCCCAGAAGAUACCAGGAAAAGCAGUUGGUUCCAACUACUUCUGCAUGCUUCUGCUGUGGUUGCUCUUUACCCUGAUCCAAUGGAGGCCUGCCCCAAGAGCCUGGGAUCCCUGAUCCAAUGGAAGCCUGCCCCAAGAGCCUGGGAUUCCUGGUCCAAUGGAGGCCUGCCCCAAGAGCCUGGGAUCACUGGUCCAAUGGAGGCCUGCCCCAAGAGCCUGGGAUCCCUGGACCAAUGGAGGCCUGCCCCAAGAGCCUGGGAUCCCUGGACCAAUGGAGGCCUGCCCCAAGAGCCUGGGAUCCCUGGACCAAUGGAGGCCUGCCCCGAGAGCCUGGGAUCCAGUGAGGCAGUCAUUCUCAAGCUCACCCCUAAGCCCACCCUGGCAUCCUUCCUCAUUCCCACAUCCAAUCUGCUCCUUACCUGGCCCUUGUCCACCCUGGACUUAUGAGAUACAGCCAGACAAUAGAAAACAGAAUUCAGUCACACACACAGGGACAAAAAAUUUAUGAAAAUGAAACGUAAAUAAAUAUGGAUGCUGA